rnacentral:lncRNA from 1 species
GGGCAGCACCGGGGCCCCGCGCCCUCCGGCGGAGGCGUGAGCCCUCGCCGCCGGCGGGCUCUCCGCCUACUGCCCCGCCAGGGGCCACAGAGCGCGGAGACCCCUCGCUGGGGGGCGCGGCCGGGACGGUGGGCGCUCUUCCAGGAGUGGAGGGACAUGGGGAGCCCCGGCGUCCCCUUGUCGCGCUCUUUGCCUCGCUGCUGGCGGCACAAGACAUGUCCACCCCCGGCCCCACCCCGUUCUCCUCCUCUUCUGGACUGAGGAUGCCGAGUAUUUCACACCAUAAGGCUGAUGCAGUCGCUGUUCCACGGAAAGAUUACAAAAAGGCACGAGUUUGCUGGGGUUAGAAGGAAAAGAACCCCAAAAUUAACGGACAUAUUUUUGUGCUAAACGCGGGAACUUCGUCUUCCAAAGCAGGGACUGAAAUUUGGCCAGUCAGCAAUGAGUUGUCGAUUAAAAUCUUGGUCACCUCUUCUUUUGCCCCCUUUCUCUCUCCCUUAAGAAAAAGCAAAGUUCCAACUGUUUUGUACAUGGACGUAUUUAUGAAAGUGACCGUUAAACUCUCCAGAAAUCGUGUCCUUGAGGCUAAAAUCCUGUAGGGAAGGAGACAGAAGAUAAUCAUAUAAUUGCAUAAUUCAAGCCUUUAUCAUAAUGCCUAUUCUCAUGGGUAAAAGUUGCACAUUAUGUGCACCAUUUAAAGUAGUGUGAGGAGGCUGGAGUAAUUACAGUUGUUGACAUUAUGUUGCAAAACAUGUACAAAAGUAAACCUGGUUAUCUUAUUUAUUUAUUUUUUUAAUUUUAUGGCAUGUACUUUGUUUCUAAGAGCUUAUGAAUAGGAUCUUUACAGACAUGUUAGGAGCUGAAACUGUUUGUGUAUGGAUAAGAGGAGGGAGAACUUGGGUUGUAGUUGAGGAUAUUGCAGUUUGCUGAGCUGCUAGUUGAGGAGGGAAGGGCUUGCUAGGGUUGUCUGUUUAUUUUCCAUUGAUAACAUUUAAAUCCCUUAACUACCAUCAGCUACAAUGAACUAAAAUUUUUGGAAAAAUAAUCUGGAAAGGAGCAUGCCACCCCUCAAGAAAAGCUGCAGCAUGAAUAGCAAUACCUAUUACACGUCAAAGAAUCCAUCCACAGAGGACUGCCAUCUUGCAGCGCAAGUUCGUAGAAGUCAGGUUUCUUUGUCUUCAUGGCUUAUGAAUCUAUUGGCUUUUACGUGAGAAGUGUUAGGAAUUAUUUUGUGUUUUAAACUAUAAUCAUUAAACUGGAAGACACAGACCCAGAAAUCUCAGUAAUGUAACAUUUUAUCAUUCCUUCUCUUUUUUGUUCUAAUAUUUUAUAUCACAUGCUUCCACUGCAAGUUCUUCAGAUUCAGGAGAGAAUGCUUUGUCACAUGUUUGUAAAGCAGCCAGGUCGCUACAGUCUCUGGGCAGAUUUUGGUGCUGUAGUCAUAAGGAGUAGUAAGUAGUUCACUGGUAGAGACAGCAAACACUUUUAUUCCAGAAACAGGCUAAACAGCUUGGAGUUAUUUUUGUGCCCUUGCAUAAGUUAAGUAAUAUUUGAGUUAUGUACCUAAGUGCGGGGACGUUUUUAGGAGCAAACAUCUAUGGUGAUUAUGAGGGCAGCUCAUGGAAGUCACAGUUGCAUUAAUUUAGGUAGUGGUGUGUCAUCUCUUGUGCAAGUGCGUGAAAGGAGUCUGUGCCCAGCAUCCCCACACAGAGUCAGUGCCAGUCUGCCUAGCAGCAGGUUGCACUAUGGGUUUUGGAAGACCAGCAAGAACUCUAAGGGCCCACUAAGCCGAGCGGAGGGAAGAGCAAACAGUAAGCAGCAACUCCUGGGCAUACGAGCAAAGACAACUUGGGUACAAAUGCUUCACUUCCAGGCAGGCCCACGAUUACAGGAUUAAAAACACAUAAAUUAGCAUGAAAUCUGAUAUAAGAUCUUUCAUAGAGAGGCUACUAAUGCUUGAAUCAAAGUUUUAAACUUGGCAUUACAGUGAUGUUAAGUUCUCUUCCACAUUCAGACACUUUGUAUGCCCUGAAGAAAAUCAUAGGCCGUAUAGGACCUCAGACGGUUCUUGUGAAAUGCAGAGCGUAGCUACAUUGCCUUCUACAGUGAAAUAUUACAAUUUACGUACUUUUUAAAAGAAUGUUAGGAAAGUGAUUUUCAAAGGGACCUGAAAAAUAAAUAGGUUAAGAUAGAAAUGAUAACUUUUUCAUUGCAUGGUUCUGUUUCCUCCGUUGAUGUGUCUUAACUAGAAAAAAUAUCUAGUUAUAUAUUUUUUCUUAAUUAUAACUAUAUACUAUAUAUUAUAGACAAUAAAUUUUGCAAAGCGAUAUAUAUGAUAAGGUAUAUCACAUACUGUACUACACAGUAUCACAUUACUUACUGCAUAGAAUAUACUGCACAUUGUAUAUAGGACAGUGCUACAUACAGUACAAAUGGAUGUAUUCUGUGUUUAUAUAUAAUGAAUUUGUGUUGAUCUUACUACAGCAUACAUGAACAUACCUAUAUAGAAAAAGUAGAUUAUACCUACGACAUAGACAUACAUUUUCUGUAUAUAUGUUUGUGCCUCAUGCAGUUUCUUUCUAUACCUCUUUCAGAACACCAUGUCUCGGAAAGGUGUAUGCAUCUUGACUUAAUGUUGCUGUGCACUUCAUCACAUUUUGCAUUUUCUAGUCCAAGGCAGAGACUGAAUAUAAGCUAGCUGCAAAUAUAAUAAUGUGUGAUUCUGGCCUACAUUUUGCACAAGUUCAGAUACAGCUUACUGUCUGUGUCCUGCUUAAAGUGACAGGAAUUACCAUGAGCCCUCAGUCUAACAGUUGAUGUAUGAUUCUAUUUUUUAUACUGACCUCGAGUGCAGUGACAUCAGGUUUUAAGUGAAUGUUCUCCUCUGCGAGUGCUGCAGAAUGAAGACUCUGAAGUGAUUCGGUUCCCAGUUGCAGAUUGAAAAAAAAAACAAAAAACAACCUGUUGUUGUCAUUUGGCAUCUUUCCAGUCUUGGAGCAUCUUCAGCGUAGGAAGUCCGUUAUUCUAAGUCAAAAUGUUCGUAGCUAACCUCUCAGGCUCCCGGGGACACAGAACACAGCAUCUUCUAACUACAGCAAUAGACUCAGCUGCGGAAGAUCUCUACCAGGCAUCACAGAGAACUUGAGGCAGCUGGCAGUUAUCAGCUGAAGCAGGUAGUCAGAACUGUAGAAGAUAAAUAGAUAAUAGAAAAGCAAUCUGGAAACCUGGGAGAGAUGAUGAACCUCUCUUCUAGAGGGGAGGUAACAACUCAGGUGGACCACAGGAAGGAGUUGAUGUCAGUGUAAUGUGAAUUCUUGUGGAGUUCAACAACAACAACAACAAAGGUUAAAAAGAAAACUUCUCAAUUUGCUUUGGAAGAUGCUUUAAAAAGAUCUGUCUGUACCACAACAACUAUAAACAAUCCUGUACAUUUACACUGAAAUGACAUAAACCAAGCAUGUGCAACAAAUAUUUUUUAGAGUAUUAGUUACCACUGUCAAAGUCCUAACCAGGAAAACAACUUCUUAUAUUCAAAAAACCCAUUAAAAAAAUUUAAAUGUGUCUGUGUUACUGGUUGCAUAAAUAAUGUGAGUCGUUUGAACAGUCUUUGUAAUUCUUAAAAAGUAGCUGCUGUACAUGUUUUUAUUUUUUAUGUAUUGUUUUAAUAUUUGUUUCACUAUGCCACUGGACAUGAAUUACUUGUGUGCCUUUCUAAAUUCUGCCUCAAAGUAGUGAUUACUGAGUGUGUUUUUCCUUUCAUAUCUCAUUCUAUGACUGCUAAAACAAGAAAAGGUCAAAGUUUUAGAGCUUAUAUACAUCAGAAGUUUAAAAUGACCAUUUGUUAAUUUGAGGCCUGAUUCAUCUUUCCAUUAUGCCAGUAUAAUCCUAGUGAUAGACUCUGGGCCAGUCUAUAUCCAUUUUUUAUAUCAAUUUCUCACUUUAGAUGUUAUACAACUGUAAAUUGCUACCCCUGUAUUAUAAGAUAUGCCUGACUUCAUUAGAUUACAAAACUUCUUAGGUAGCAGAAUUGUCUUUCUUACAUAUUUUUGUUUCUUUUUCAAAAAAGAUGAAAGAGAAGCAGCCAAAAUAUUGUUUAUUAAAUAAAAUUUUGCAUACUUCAAAACUGUAAAAAUCCUCAGUUUAUCAUGCAUUUACUUUCUUUAUUGAUUAGAUAAAAAAUGUAGUUUUGCAAGGUAAAGGUAUUAUAAAAGAUUUCAGAUAUAGUGAUAUAAGUUUUGGGGUCUAUAUACCAAACAGGUCCUUCUCCCAACACACAAAUCAACACCAGGAGACUUUUGAAGAAGAAACCACACAGUAAUUGAAGCACAAAUGUGUGUGCUUCUACAGAGAAGUUUGAGGAAGCAGAAGUCAACUCUCUUUUUGUGGAAGGCCUCAGAAUGCUAAUCCAAACCCUAUUUUCCCCAACAGAUACAAGGCAUGGCGGCUGUGUGUUUGCAGGUGUUUGCAUAUGUGCUCUUACUUCUUUCUAGUGACUUUCUUAUUCUGUAACAAUUAGGCCUGGUGGAGCUUCUGGUGGUGCCUUGGAAUCACACUAUUCUGUUUUGAUUAUUCCAUAGGAUCAGUAAUAAAAAUGUCUUUCUUCAU